GCCUGAGAUACAUACUUCUUUACAUUCCAUAAUCUGUCAGUUCCAUAUGGAUUUAUAAAGAAGUAUGUUACCCAAAC